rnacentral:sRNA from 2 species
UCUGCCGCAACGCCGAAUCCUGCCAGCGGCCGUACGGGAACAGUCGUCGCUUCACAGCGCCGUAGGCAGGAGCGGGGGACCCAAGGUAAGUGCCCCACCGGGUGGUUGACGGUGGUGGCUCGGGGUGUAGCCGCGGCUCGCGAGAGCGAGUCCGCGGCCGGGCAACUCAACCGGCCCGAACCCGACAGCUCACCUCGCAGGCGUCGGUGAGGGGAUCC